GAGAACUCCAAUGGCGUCUGUGUCAGCACUCCCACACCAGGCCACAACAAUGGCCGCCGCCAAUGUCCCUGUCCCUGGAGAGGUCUCACCUCUCACCGAGAUGCACUCAGGGCCUAUCAGAGCCUCCAGAAAAGAAUGCAAUCCUGCUGACAUCUUGAUUUUAGCCCAAUGAGACCUGUGUUGGACGUCUAACCUACAGAACUGUAAGCUGGAGGUUUACUCCAUAAGGUAGAGGAUGGGAGACAUAACAAGGCAGACCCUGCUGAGAAGUUGUGGGGUGAAAAUCACGUUUCCUAGAAUCCUGGUA